UCUCUGAUGGUCCAGUGGUUAAGGAUCUGCCUUCCAAUGCAAAGGACACAGGUUUGAUCCCUGAUCAGGGAA
rnacentral:tRNA from 1 species